GCCAAACAGCUAGCUUAACUACUUAAUAACUAAACAAUAUAAAUAAAACAAAAUAAGCCUAACACCAAAAACUAAACC
rnacentral:rRNA from 1 species